ensembl:lncRNA
GUUUUUCUGGAACUCUUGCUUUUUGAUGAUCCAGCAGAUGUUGGCAACUUGAUCUGUGGUUCCUCUGCCUUUUCUAAAACCAGCUUGAACAUCUGGAAGUUCUAGCUGUCAUUAUUAGAAUAUACAAGUGUUUGGACUGGGAAACAAGUUAGAAACUAUUUUAGGAGGAUAGAGUAUGUCGUUCUUGAUAGUUCCUUUAUCAUCUCUGUCAUACAACUCCUUAUAAAGUAAAUAAUAUUCUCCUUUACAGAUGAGAAGUCUGAGGCUCUGCAAGCUUAAGUAAUAUGACCAAGGUUACUCAGGAUGUUAUGGCUCUAGAUUAACACUAGAAAGAUGUCUGCCUCUAAAAGCCAUGCCUUGGUGCACUUCUUUCUUAGGACCAGGCCUAUGACUUGGUACCUACCCAGCCUUUAUUUAAUGCUCAAUAAAUGUAUUGAUUGAGUGAAAGGGUGAAUUUCCAGUAACAUUUUCAGGGUCCUCUAGGAUGAGCAUGAGUCAAUGUGAAUUGGUUUUGUUUUUUAGUGUGAUUGUAAGUGUAGGUAUAAAAAGUGCUUUGGGGCAUGCAGAGGUAACUGAUCAGAAGUUCUAAACUUAGCUGUGUACCACAAUUACUGUCUAAGACUGUCCAGGUUUUUUAUUUUUUUAAAGCUUCAUGGGUAAUUCUGAAAUAGCCAUGUUUGGGCACUUAGCUAGAAGGCCCUUUGAUUUCCUGGAAUUUGGUUUGAUUUGAUCUUAACCUGACUAGAUCAUUAUGAAAAGAAAUCAGGAAAUUAAGAAAAAGUCAGGACUUAUCUUGAGAAAUUACUUUUGUAAAUCUUGAUUUAUAGUAAAUGAAGUUUGCCUUAUUCUGACCUUGCUAAGAAAAUAAAACCUUGACUUUGGAGACCAGGGCAAUUUGUUUAAAAGCCCAAAAGGAAGUUUUCAGGGUGCUGGGUGACACCUCACCACAGAUGCCUUUUAGAAUGAGUGCCAUAAAUGGAAGUGACUCAGCAAAACCAAACAGCAACACUAAGCAUUUUACAUGAGCAAAGUGUAAACAUACACAAGAGGUUAACAAAGGCCCUUUUCUCAAGAAACUCAGUCUUGUUAGGACACUGUCAUGAAAAGACUCACAAGGUACAGACAGAAGACACGGCAAAUGUGAGGAGGGAAGGGACACAUGAGUUCAAGUGGAGGGAGGGAAAUGGUCAUUUAAAAUAAAUGCCACUUGAAUUUCAGCCCCAAAGUGUAGAAAGCUUGAAAGUUGGCAUCCUUGGCUUCACAACAAGAAAAAGCUCGACAAAGUGAAAAAAUCCAUGACCCACCUUAUCUUACCUUAGGCCCACCCCUCAGAGAAUGGAGGUUGCAGAGCAAACCUCCUCUCAAAUCUGGAGAGACAUGCUCAUCUAGACGGACAUGGUCAAAAUCUGUUUACCUCUGAGCAGGAACUGCUAGUCAUAAACUGGUAGGAUCACACAUACGGUGAUACUGAAUUUGUGGAGGUUGAGUGUGACCUUCCCAGGUGGCACUAGUGGUAAAGAACUACCUAUGCACCUACCAAUGCAAGAGGCAUCGAGACAUGGAUUUGAUCCCUGGGUUGGAAAGAUCCCCUGGAGAAUUAAAUGGCAAGAAUACUUCAGUGGGUUACCAUGCCUUCCUCCAAGGAUCUUCCCGACCCAGGGAUUGAACCUGUGUCUCCUGCAUUGCAGGCAUUACCGCUGAGCCACCAGGAAAGCCUAUUACAAAGGCCCAUCCUCCAGGAUAAGCCUUUGCCAGAACCUUAUCCCUGAUGAGGGAAGGGCAUUCCUCCCUCACCUCUAGCCUUCCUAUCUUACCUAAAGGAAAAAUAAAACAUAGUCAACAGAGGUCAAGACUUCAAGGAAAUGCUGCAGCCAGAGAAGGGAGGAAGGGGGAAGCUGUGCCACUGGAAACUCCUGUGAAGGCCACAGGCCCACUGGGCACUGGACAUCUAGAAACUAGAAUGUGCUCUUGCCUCCCACUGUAGCACCACACCACACCAGGGCUCCAGUAUAAUAGUGGAUUAUAGCUGAAAGCUGCAGGACAGACUCUGAGGAGGAGGGGAACCUAGAGUUAGGAAAGAGAAAAGCAUAGAAACGAGGAAUUUGAAGCCUCUGGUACCUAAAAUCAGAGCAAACAUUAAACAAGUCCAC